rnacentral:rRNA from 1 species
UACUUGGUGUUACUGCGAAGGGGGGACGGAGAAGGCUAUGUUGGCCGGGCGACGGUUGUCCCGGUUUAAGCGUGUAGGCUGGUUUUCCAGGCAAAUCCGGAAAAUCAAGGCUGAGGCGUGAUGACGAGGCACUACGGUGCUGAAGCAACAAAUGCCCUGCUUCCAGGAAAAGCCUCUAAGCAUCAGGUAACAUCAAAUCGUACCCCAAACCGACACAGGUGGUCAGGUAGAGAAUACCAAGGCGCUUGAGAGAACUCGGGUGAAGGAACUAGGCAAAAUGGUGCCGUAACUUCGGGAGAAGGCACGCUGAUAUGUAGGUGAAGUCCCUUGCGGAUGGAGCUGAAAUCAGUCGAAGAUACCAGCUGGCUGCAACUGUUUAUUAAAAACACAGCACUGUGCAAACACGAAAGUGGACGUAUACGGUGUGACGCCUGCCCGGUGCCGGAAGGUUAAUUGAUGGGGUCAGCGCAAGCGAAGCUCUUGAUCGAAGCCCCGGUAAACGGCGGCCGUAACUAUAACGGUCCUAAGGUAGCGAAAUUCCUUGUCGGGUAAGUUCCGACCUGCACGAAUGGCGUAAUGAUGGCCAGGCUGUCUCCACCCGAGACUCAGUGAAAUUGAACUCGCUGUGAAGAUGCAGUGUACCCGCGGCAAGACGGAAAGACCCCGUGAACCUUUACUAUAGCUUGACACUGAACAUUGAGCCUUGAUGUGUAGGAUAGGUGGGAGGCUUUGAAGUGUGGACGCCAGUCUGCAUGGAGCCGGCCUUGAAAUACCACCCUUUAAUGUUUGAUGUUCUAACGUGGACCCGUGAUCCGGGUUGCGGACAGUGUCUGGUGGGUAGUUUGACUGGGGCGGUCUCCUCCUAAAGAGUAACGGAGGAGCACGAAGGUUGGCUAAUCCUGGUCGGACAUCAGGAGGUUAGUGCAAUGGCAUAAGCCAGCUUGACUGCGAGCGUGACGGCGCGAGCAGGUGCGAAAGCAGGUCAUAGUGAUCCGGUGGUUCUGAAUGGAAGGGCCAUCGCUCAACGGAUAAAAGGUACUCCGGGGAUAACAGGCUGAUACCGCCCAAGAGUUCAUAUCGACGGCGGUGUUUGGCACCUCGAUGUCGGCUCAUCACAUCCUGGGGCUGAAGUAGGUCCCAAGGGUAUGGCUGUUCGCCAUUUAAAGUGGUACGCGAGCUGGGUUUAGAACGUCGUGAGACAGUUCGGUCCCUAUCUGCCGUGGGCGCUGGAGAACUGAGGGGGGCUGCUCCUAGUACGAGAGGACCGGAGUGGACGCAUCACUGGUGUUCGGGUUGUCAUGCCAAUGGCACUGCCCGGUAGCUAAAUGCGGAAGAGAUAAGUGCUGAAAGCAUCUAAGCACGAAACUUGCCCCGAGAUGAGUUCUCCCUGACCCUUUAAGGGUCCUGAAGGAACGUUGAAGACGACGACGUUGAUAGGCCGGGUGUGUAAGCGCAGCGAUGCGUUGAGCUAACCGGUACUAAUGAACCGUGAGG